GAUCACCGAUUCAUGCGUCAACUACUCCCUAGGUGAACACAGAAAUCUGAGUCAUGGAUUAUCACUCAAAAUCCAAUUUCCACUAGAACUACCUUUUGUUUUCAUUUCUACCUCCAAAGAUCAAGAGUAAAAAUAAAACUGACAUGACCAAUCCCUCCUCUAAACUUGCAGUCCCCUUCCCAAAAGUUGUAAAACAAGCUCUUUAGCCUAUUGUCGUCACUUCUUAAGAAUAAAACUAGCAUGUGUAUGACAUGAGUACAUAGGGUUC
rnacentral:lncRNA from 1 species